AACGAACGCUGGCGGCGUGGCUAACCCAUGCAAGUCGAGCGUGAACGUUCCCUUCGGGGAGCUAGUAGCGCGGCGAAAGGGUGAGGAAUACAUGGGUAACGCACCCCGGGCACGAGGAUAACCCGCUGAAAGGCGGCGUAAUACUCGAGAGACCACGCGGGGGCAUCCCCAAGUGGUCAAAGGGCUGGGAUCCGACUUGUCGGACCUGCUGGCCCGGGAGCGGCUCAUGUCCCAUCAGCUUGUUGGCGGGGUAAUGGCCCACCAAGGCAACGACGGGUAGCCGGACUGAGAGGUUGAUCGGCCACAUUGGGACUGAGACACUGCCCAGACUCCUACGGGAGGCUGCAGGGACGAAUAUUGGGCAAUGGGCGAAAGCCUGACCCAGCGACGCCGCGUGUGGGAAGAACCCCUUCGGGGUGUAAACCACUGUCGAGGGCUACCAAGCAAAUCCGCCAAAUAAGCGGAGGCGUUGAGGAGCCCCAAAGGAAGCCACGGCUAACUCCGUGCCAGCAGCCGCGGUAAGACGGAGGUGGCAAGCGUUGUUCGGAAUUACUGGGCUUAAAGGGCACGUAGGCGGCCUGUCAAGCGUCCUGUGAAAUCCCUCGGCUCAACCGAGGAAUUGCUGGGCGAACUGGCAGGCUUGAGGCAGGUAGGGGCGCGUGGAACUCUUGGUGGAGCGGUGAAAUGCGUAGAUAUCAAGAGGAACGCCAGUGGCGAAAGCGACGCGCUGGGCCUGGAGCCCAAACGCAAGAACGGGGAGGCUUCCUGACGCUGAGGUGCGAAAGCUAGGGGAGCGAACGGGAUUAGAUACCCCGGUAGUCCUAGCUGUAAACGAUGUCCACUAGGUUAGGGUUCUUUUGACAGAUUCCCGACCGAAGCGAAAGCGUUAAGUGGACCGCCUGGGGAGACGGUCGCAAGGCU
rnacentral:rRNA from 1 species